rnacentral:rRNA from 1 species
AGGGGUUUGAUCAUGGCUCAGAACGAACGCUGGCGGCAGGCCUAACACAUGCAAGUCGAGCGCACUUAUGACCUUCGGGUUAUAGGCGAGCGGCGGACGGGUUAGUAACGCGUGGGAACGUACCCUUUACUACGNAAUAGCCUUUGGAAACGAAGAGUAAUACCGUAUACGCCCUUUGGGGGAAAGAUUUAUCGGUAAAGGAUCGGCCCGCGUAAGAUUAGAUAGUUGGUGGGGUAAUGGCCUACCAAGUCUACGAUCUUUAGCUGNUUUGAGAGGAUGAUCAGCAACACUGGGACUGAGACACGGCCCAAACUCCUACGGGAGGCAGCAGUGGGGAAUCUUAGACAAUGGGCGCAAGCCUGAUCUAGCCAUGCCGCGUGAGUGAAGAAGGCCUUAGGGUCGUAAAACUCUUUCGCCAGAGAUGAUAAUGACAGUAUCUGGUAAAGAAACCCCGGCUAACUCCGUGCCAGCAGCCGCGGUAAUACGGAGGGGGUUAGCGUUGUUCGGAAUUUACUGGGCGUAAAGCGCCACGUAGGCGGACUGAUCAGUUAGAGGUGAAAUCCCAGGGCUCAACCCUGGAACUGCCUUUAAUACUGUCAGUCUAGAGAUCGAGAGAGGUGAGUGGAAUUUCCUAGUGUAGAGGUGAAAUUCGUAGAUAUUAGGAGGAACACCAGUGG